rnacentral:RNase_P_RNA from 2 species
UACAGGGGAUGACUAUCACCGGGGGCAACAAACACAGUUCGACCUCCGGAAAUUCUGAGAAAGGCGCAGUUGCCCGUACGGGCGGCUGUUUCCGUAGGGGCGGAAAUCCCAAUAAUCCGACUGUCUGAGUUCCCAGAAAAUCCGGGAUUUGGAAACUACGGCUCUACGGACUCAGCCACCCGUACGCCGGAUGUGACCUCCAAAUAUGGAAAGUCUGAUCUUACGUGCAAGCUACCCCGAGCAACACAAUGCCCUACUCUCCGAGAGGUU